GAGGACUUCCAGAACAGCUUCAGAAAGUGGCAAGAACCAUGGGAUAACUGUGUUCGAAAUUGGUACAGAUUAAAGAAUAAAAUAUCGCUUAUGACAACAUGAGCUUCAACAACCAAAAAGAAACACAUCUGGGCAUGACAAGCACACUGAACCCCAACAGGACCUGAGCUAUUGGCUGAAGAGGCUAAAUGGAGCAAUAGAGCUGGAGAAACAACAGGCUGGAGGCAUCCAAGGAGAAGCUUGUGCAGUGCAGCUGCAAGACUGUGGUGCAGGAAGACCCCUUGUUGGAGUAUUGGCGGAUGUUUACUUCCUGUGUCUCGACCAGCCACCAUCGAGAAUAUGUAAGCACCUUGGCUGUGAGCCACUAUUGUUUCAGCAUAGUACCCUAAGAACCCUGGCUGGGCCCAGGAAGUCUGGCUGUGCCGAGAAAGACUGGCAGUACCCUGAGAAACCCUGGCUGUGCCCAGAAAGACUGGUGGAACCCUGAGAAACCCGGGCUAUGCCCAGAAAGUAGGUGGACAUCGAGGGACACCCCCUGGGACAUUACUUGAACUGGACUGAAACUUUUUCUCAUGUCAGGAACCCAGCUUGCAAAAGACACUGGUUGCACAGGGUGUGAGGCGAGAUCCAGGAGGGGUGGAAUGUGGGGACAGAGUACCGGAGAGCAGUUUCCAGGCUCUCAACCUUACAUGGAAAGAUGCUGGCUCAGUUAUUAGAUGGCCAUCAGCUGUAACUAGUUGGCCAUCAGCUGUAACCGGUUAGCAUUAGCCACUAAUAUAUAUAACUGCCGUGGCUAUGCUGGCAAAUUGGUUGGUUGACAAAGAAGCGGACAGCGGAUUGUGGCUAGGAAGUGUGGUUAGCAAGCGGAUUACAUUGUGGGACCUGUGUAUCGUACUUCCUAUGUCUCGCCCAGCAGCCAGCGGGACUGGGGUGCAGGAAGACCUCUCAUUGGGGUAUUGGCGGAUGUUUGGAUUUGUGUCUCGACCAGCCACCAUCAAGAAUAUAGUGGUAUGACUCCCCUAUCGAUGGCUCCUUUGUUUUUCCUUUUUGGCCUCACCAUAUUCUGUGUCCAUCCACUGAGAACGGGACCAGAGACCCUGCAUUACAUCUGGCUAGGUCUUAUUUGUGGGAAAACACGGUACCAAAUUACCACAGUAUACUUGUACUACCUAUUUCUGGACUUUCUAGUCUGUUCCACUGACUAAAGAAAUGAAUUAUUCAGUGACUGAUUUCAAGUCUACUCCAACACCCAAAAUAUGGAUUGCCAGUGUCAAAUUCUGCAUCCACCAUUAUGGAACAGCUGUGUUACUUUGGAUACAGCCCUGAACCUCUCUGUGCUGAGCAGUAGAUUAUCUCAGGAACUUCCACAGAACCUCAAAAACUGACAUUGUGACAAGUGCUACUAUUUCACAGGGAUAGAUUUGGCAUCAGAAAAUUCUACAUGACUAGUGACGUCGGGACAAAACGUGAGACUGUACAAUGUAGAAAGAAGCCACUGUAAUCAGAGAACCUAAAAAGUCAAAAUGGGAGUGUAAACUGAAAUAUGGUCUAUUCCCUAGAGAGGAAUUCUAGUUCUGAGCAAUUUCACUCAUCCAAGGGACAUUAAUUAUCAACCGUGAAAAGACAGCCUCUGUGUAUUAAAUAUAUUGAAUGUACAAACAAAAUGAAAUCAAGACCACAAAGCACAGUGGCUAAGGCCUCUGCACUGCCAUAUUUGGCACUCAACAGCACCAUGGUUUGUUACUCUUUAUUUCUGGAGGCAGAGUCUUUCGCUUUGUUUCUCAAUGUACAAGUUAAUAUUGGCUCCAGAAAUUUGAAGAGAUUCUGCAGAGGCUGAAAAAACAAGCUUUAUUCCAGAAAUGACUUCACAGCCUAUUUGUCUCAGAGCUUGAAGCACUUUUCAUUGAAGCCAUUAAAGAGUGCCAGGCCCCAAAGAAAGCCAAACCAUCCAUAAAGGCACACUUGUGCCUAACCAGCAGCCACCCUCAGUGCUCCGACUCAUCUUGCCAGGCCUGUCCUCUCUGGGAGAAAGCUAAAAAUGGCCUGCCCAUCUCAAUACUGAAGCUGUGUUUCUUGGUAGUGGUUCCGCCAUUUUUUGUCUAUUUUGUUUGGGGUGGAGAAGAGGGGGUAUUAUUUUUCCAUCUGUGGCUUUCUAAACUUUGCAUUUUCUGUCCUCAAAAUAGAAGCCCACUAGAGGCUACUGACAGUAUUCUUCAUCCAUGCUCAAAGGGAAUCAACAGGAAUGUCUCCUAUCUUCUUAGGAUAUCGCCACUUCACUCAUUCUUCUUUGGUGCCUCCAAACCUUUUUUGUCAAGAAGCUAAGAAGUGACAGGCACCCAGGAGACUCCUGGUAUAAGAGCUGGGGGAUGAAGGUGAACACUUAACACCAAAUUACCGAGCACAUCUUGCAGAAGCACUGUUCUACAUUAUACAUGUCCUAGCCACCCUCCUUCCCUUUAUGCCAAACCAGAAUCAAAGCCAUGACACUGAGAAGAUAAGACUAGGGAUCUAGGGGAAAAACUUCAUUUAAAAGAAAUGCCAGCAAAAGCCGUUAGCAGUGUUCUUAUUUAAGGUGCUUCUACACUUCUUAGAGAAAUAGGAAAAGCAGCAAUGCAUUCAGAAGAAACCCAAGCAACAGUUUAAUUCGGGGGCUCACUGAAGCACACAGCUGGUGUUCUAAAUCGUCUGAAGUUAAAUGCUAAUGCAGGAGCAAACCUGCAUCGAUUUAUAGUUCUAGAACUUGGCUGGAAACUAGGUUUGCUCCCAAUCCCAGUGAUGGCUUGUAAGAUUCUAUUCCUUGUUUUCAAUUUAACCUGAGGAAGGUAGAGAUGGGAAUAAAGAAUAAAGAUGAUGGCGUGGAAAGAAAAUUUAGUGAUAGGUAUAUAUCUAAAUAUAAAACAUAAGGAAGAUUUAUUGAUGAUAGCCAUUUUGACUGGGGUGAGGUGGUAUCUCAUUGUGGUUUUUAUUUGCAUUUCUCUAAUGAUUAGUGAGGUUGAGCAUUUUUUCAUGUCUGUUUGUCCUCUUUAUACAGAUGAAACAGUCCAUCUUUCAUACAAAUGAAAAUUAAAUUUUUCAUCUGUAUGUCCCCUUUAGAAAAAUGUCUCUUCAUGUCCUCUGCCCAUUUUUUAAUUGGGUUGUUUGUUUUUUUGGAGUUGAGUGAGUUUUUUAAUAAAUUUUGGAUAUUAACCCUUUAUCAGAUAUAUCAUUGGCAAAUAUCUUGUCCCAUUUAGUAGGCUCCUUUUUUUGUUGUAUUGAUGGUUUCCUUUGCUGUGAAAAAACUUUUUAGUUUGAUGUAAUCCCACGUUUAUUUUUUCUCUUACUUCCUUUGCCCGAGGGGAUAUAG